CAUGAAUCUGACUCCCCCACACAUACACAAAAUCCCUCCAAACAUAUUCACACACAAAGCACCCCUCAUACAUGCACACUGCACCCCUCACACAACACCCCUCACACACACACUUACUGCACUGUUCACACAGCACCCUUCAAACACACACAUUACACCCCUCACACACACUUACCGCACCAUUCACACAGCACCCUUCACACACACUGCACCACACAAACACAGCAUCCCUCACACACACACAGCACCCUCACAUAUACACUGCACCCCUCAAACACACACAAAGAAAACAUAUAUAUGUACUACAUAAUCACUCGCACACACUGCACCUCUACACACAACUCUGUUUCACCUACACACAUUAGAUACUCUAUACACAUCUUGAAUCCUCUAUACACACACACAACACACUAGAUUUUCUAUACACACUCUAGGUCCUUCAAAAAAACACUAGAUCCCCUACACACACACUGCACCACAUACACUCAUACUACAUUCCUGUAAGCAAACACACUACAUUCCCUAAACACACUCUCUACAACCCCUACACACACUCCCUCACUAUGCCCUCUAUACACACUGUCUCACUCUCUACAGCCCCUAGCCACACAUAUAACAUCUCAAACACAACAUGACUGAAACUGACCUGUUUACACAAUUCCACACCACAAUCAGCUCACUCUACACACACGCAAUCCCACAAGCAGGCUCCAAACACAGGGAUUAUACACUUUCCUGGCCAUUUUGUCUCCUGGUAUCCCACUUAUGGAGACACCAGAGAAAAGUUACAAGCAAACACAGAGUAAGCAUGCUAAUAAAUUUGCUUACGAUGUGCAGAACACAUACAGGGCCUUUUUCUCAUGCUAGUGCUCUUUAGCAGAGCUCUGCACAUCAUCUGCCCUGGAAGAGCAUUGAACCUUUAACACAUUAAACAUGCCCACUUUGAGAGGGGAGCGUGCUUGUUAUUGGUGAUGACAUGACACCCCCGUCCUCUUCUCAGUGGGCCGAUGUGAUUAAAGAAGUCCGG